rnacentral:rRNA from 1 species
UGAGGAAUAUUGCGCAAUGGGGGAAACCCUGACGCAGCGACGCCGCGUGGGUGAUGAAGGCCUUCGGGUUGUAAAGCCCUGUUGGAGGGGAAGAAAGGGCGUGUAGCUAAUAUCUGCACGCAUUGACGGUACCCUCAGAGGAAGCACCGGCUAACUCCGUGCCAGCAGCCGCGGUAAUACGGAGGGUGCGAGUGUUAUUCGGCUUUACUGGGCGUACAGAGCACGUAGGCGGCUAGGCAAGUCAGAUGGGAAAGCCCGGAGCUUAACUCCGGAACUGCAUUUGAUACUGCUUGUCUGGAGUGUGGUAGAGGGGGGUGGAAUUCCCGGUGUAGAGGUGAAAUUCGUAGAUAUCGGGAGGAACACCAGAGGCGAAGGCGACCCCCUGGGCCAUAACUGACGCUGAGGGGCGAAAGCGUGGGGAGCAAACA